rnacentral:snRNA from 14 species
CUACGUUACCUGGCGCCGGGGGAUACCCGUGGAAUCAGAGGCGGUGGCCUCCAGGACGAGGCCUGUACAUUGCACUCCGCUCAUGCGGCUCGACUCCUGCGACUACCCCCAAAUACGGGGGUGGCUCGAGCGGCAUAACUUUUUAGUAGUACGGGGGACAAGGCCCGCCGCAUUCGCGCCUUGUCCCUUU